CAAGAAAACAUGGAGAGGCAGUUUCAGAAGCACCACCCUGUCCUGACACAGAGGUGAUAUGAUGAAAAUAUGGCAGAGCACUGUGGAAAAAAUGAAGAGGAUGACACCAGAGAAAAACUGACACAACAGAGAUCCAUGCAGACCCCUGACGCAUAUUCUUUAGGUGCCUCAAACACAGCACGUCACUGUGUAGAGCUGCUCUUGUUGUUGGCCUCACGUUACUGAAGGUUAUCCCACAGGGAAGGGAGGCCAUCCUAGAGGGAACUGCAGUAAUGGAGGCUGGAGCAUGACCUGUACAGGAAGUGAAGAGGCUGCCAAAUUACCAUGCCCGUGAGCCCCACUCUCAUUAUCAGCCUAAACGAACGCACACACCCCGCCACUUUCAUCCUCUUCCAGGUCCAAGAAAAAGAAAAAGAAGGCAAAAAAACCCAACCAACCUUCCACACAAAGAGGUGUCUCUGAAGUCUGGAAUGCAACCUGGCUGUUUGAAGACAAGAUUUAUACCUGACACCCUCCUUAAAGCUCAUUGUUGAGACUCGCCUGCGUUCAAAUCAACCGCAGACUGGCUGCUGCAGGUACUUCAUCUUACAACAACCACAUCAUCUAAGAUAAAUGCACCAGGAAUUGCUAUCACUUUGAGGUGGAAAAAAAAACUGGGGUUGGGGGGAGGAAAUCAAACCUCUGAUGCAGGUAGUGGGUGGAGGAAGAGACAGAAGAGCAUGAAGGAGUGUGUGAGGGUGUGAGCAGGCCAGGAGCCAGCGACAGCCGCCAGCCUGCGGCACGGGGCGCAGGGAUGAAAUGGGUCUGGCUGCCUGUGUGGGCACCUGUGUUUGGGCCCAGCCUCUCCUCGCCUUGGCAGCCAGGCUGUGGGACCAGGCGUUGGGCGGGACCCUUAAGCCACGCCAGAGCCAGGGGAGCAGUAAUCACUCAGGUGCUGGUGAAGGACUGAAAGGAGCUUUUGACUUGGUGGGAGACAAAGAGAAGGACUGUGCCAUCAGUUCAUGUCAUUCCCAUGUUUUCUGGGCCAAGCCUGAUUUCUUCAUUUUAGGAUCCUGUCCCUACGUAAGCUGUGGUUAGUUGCUUUCAUUCAGCUUCUUAAAUUUCUCUGGAGGAAAAGCCUUGGUAGUAAGGACUUAAUUUUACACUGAAUCUGUCUGAUGGGAGGCAAAGCCAUAGGGGACUGAGAUAGGUGAAGCAAACAGUAAGAGAGACAGAAGAGUUUGCUCAGGACAGUGUCAGGAUGUGGAGAAACACAGCUGAACAUCCUAGAGCUCAGGCUGCUGAAACUCUAGCAUUAGCAGGAGUUGGGCUAAUUAUUGAAGGCUUUGAAGUGAUGCAGGCAGAAAAUGUCUAUCAUAAUCAAGGAACAACACCUGGCAAUUGGCAGAGAUACUUAUUGCCUAUAUCAUACUAUUGCUCAAAGGCCCAAUAAAUGUUGGGGUGUAAGGAUGCAAUUUGUGGUGUAGAACCAGCUAAGGAGCAUUUUCCAGGGUGAAGAAUUACCAUGGCAUUUAGAAUAAUGCCCCAUUAAUCCAGGGCAUUCAAAAAUGGUUCUGAGGAGAUACUCUGAUAUUCUGAAAUUAAACUGAUAGAGAAAAGCCAAAAAAAAAUGACAGCAUAGGUAUUAAUGCAAAAGUUUAAAGAUAGAAAAACCUGCCCUUCUGAAGCAUUUCAUAAUGCCUAUCUUGGAUCCAGAGACAGAAAGCAAUAUGGGAUGAACAAAAAAAGAAGGUCCCUAAGGACUGUUCUAUCCUCACAGAUUUGACCUGCUACUGGGCAGGACCUAUCAGCAUAUUCUGGAUUUAACCCAACAGAAAGAUCUUUAUUUGGUUUUCUAGUUCUCCUUUGUCUGGCAGUUAAGACUCAGGGCUGUAAAGGGCUUCUUCCAAAACUUCUGGGCUGACAAGGAUGUUUGACAUCUGGGAAAAAUGAGCUGGUUUAAUCCACUUCAGUUCUAGAGCACUUUCUAUAUUUAGGAUUUUAAAUUAUGUUUCAUUAAGAAUGCAAAUUAUGAGCAUUUCUAGGACUCCAGGUACUUGCAUGUCCCAGCUAGCACAUAAGCCUCAUGCCGUUACAAAUCUGAAUAAGGCAGGUUAAGUUUGCAGCAGAAUUAAAAUAGGGCAAAAGGGAGGGUGGGAAGAGAGCUUGAACAACACAUUCAACAUUUGCCGACUAGGGUGAGAGGAAAAACAUUUACACCAACACUGAACUGACACAACUGCAUGUGAAGCUACAGCAUCAAUCUCAGCUUGGUCACAGUUAUCCUGUUCCAUUUUUGCAAUUGAAAAACUUACCAUUUAUAAAUAUUUUUUAGAUUUUUUUUUUCCUGUGGGCUGUUUUGUUCUUUUGUUUUGGUGGGUUUUUGUUGUUUGUUGGUUUUUUUUCAUCUUGGGGGAUGAUAUCUGCUACCUAGUGCCAGCAUAAGAUUGUCAGAGAAAUUGGUUUCAUCAACCCAUGACCAAUGUAUUGAAAAAUGGAGCAUGGCUCUGCUGCAGCAAUCACAGGAAAUGUUGUGGACACUCUGCCUGGAGCCUCCAUAAUUUGUGACACCAAACAUCUGAGGUAACAGCAUUCAGUAUUUCAUCCUGACAUUUCAGCUCUUGACAGCACUACAGAAUGCUGCUUGAACCUAAAGUCAAAUGCAAUAAACUGUGCACAGCUUUGCCA